ACCACCUCCUUUGUUCGGUAUAAUUCGGAACUUGCAUCUAUCCCUUUAACACACAUCAGCCUUCGUAUCUUUCACGAACAAUCAGUAUUGUACUAUAUAGCAAUGUCCUUAUUAAAUAUUAGAAUCAAAAUAUUAAAAUCAAACCCACUUUUCAAUUUUCAUGAACAAACCCUAGUUUUAUCAAAUAUCAGAAUAAAAAUCAAAAACUAAAGAACAUACCCAAACGGCAGUGGGGAUCUUCGGCUAUUCGUGUAGUCGUCAACGGUGGAACAACAGAAGACGGCGACGGUGGAAGUUUCAGCGUCACUCUCCUUACUGCUAUUUUCUAAAUUUGUUGUGUUGUGGCUUGCAAACGUGAGGAUGAGAGGAAAGGAACAGACAUUUUGUUUUGUUUUUUUUAAUCGAAAAACUCAAAACGGCAUCGUUUUGAGUAAAAAAAAUUAAAAAAAAAAUCUGCUAAACAACCGCCGGUUUGCUUGAACCGCCGGUUCCGCCCGAUUUCCUCGGUUUUUUUCCGGUUCGAAGACAAGAGCGAUCGAGUGAUCAGACCAGACCGGAUGCUGGUCUGAUUCCCAGGCCAAUCGGUCCGACCGGCCGGUUCAGUCCGGUUCCCGAUCCGACCGGUCCGACCGGCCGGUUCAGUCCGGUUUUUAAAAUAUCUACAAUAUAAGAAAGUUAGAUGCUCUGGAAAAUACCUAUUUGCCCCUCUGCUUUAUUAGAGAGCCACGUGGCUAGCUCCAUUGCAUUUCUUUGAUUUUCUUGCUUUUGUGCUAUCUCUCUUCAACGUCUUAUUCUAAGCUUUUUUGGAAAAAAAACAAUAUCUUUUGUCAUUGUUAUUAUCUUUCUUGAAAACGCAACUAUGCUUAGACCUACACUCAACAUGUCUAAUCAUUUUGUGAGCUAAAAUCUGAAACAACUCUCUUUCUCUGAAACAACUUUCUUCCUCUUCCACCUUCCUCCCUUCUUCUCCCUCUAAUAUUUCUUCGCCUUCAACCUUCCUUCCUCCUCAUUACGGUGCCGCCAAGCCCAUUUUGAAUAUCUUCGUCUUCCACCUACCUCUGUCAUCCUUCUUCUACUUUCUUCGUCUUCCACCUUCCUCACUCCUCAAUACGUUGUUGUCUUCCGUUUUGAACGCACCUGCUAUAUAUGGCUCGACCAAUGGAGAAAGUUAUGGACACAACGACACUAAGGAUCUGUUGGUUAGGGUUUUUUUUUGGUUGAUUUGAUGAUUGUGAUUUUGAUUUAGUUUUUGUUGUUUCAGGUUUAAUGGUGUUGCGAAAAGGGAGAGAUUCCCGGCGGUUAGGUGUUGAAGAUGUUGGUCUAAUUAUUUUCAGUUAUUUUUUUGUUACAUUUGGAAAUUAUGCAAUGCAGAAUUUUGUCUUUAAUGGAAGAAGUCACAUCUAAAUUGAACAUGGAAAAAUUUAAAAAGGAACAACGGGUUCUCCAUACAAGUUCAAGUUCCUCAGAAACUGUAUUUCAUAAGAACGUUACUCUAGAAAAAAAUUAAAGGUUCUGUUAAGGUUUGUAUUCUUUAUACCACUUCAAUAUAGUUGUCUGCAUUGAUGCCAAGUAGAAUAUGAGCAAGUUAAGUCCUAAUGGUUAAUUAUUCAUUUUACUCAUAUAGUAUACUCUUUUGCGGGCUAUUCAAAUAGCUUUACAGAAGUUAGAUGAAGGAUGUAGUAUUGAGGAAGCAAAAGCUAUUUAAGCAGCCAAGGUCUACCUUGCACAUUUUCUUCAUGGAAUGCGAUAUACAUAAGGUUUAAUUUAUGCUGUAGAAGUUGGACUUGAAUUCUUUUAUGAAGAAUGUGAUUAUGAUAAAUAUUAUGGAUUUAUGGAUGCUUCUUUUCACAUUGGUUAAUACAAGCACAAAUAAUGGAGAAGAAGAACAACCUUCUUGGACUCUAUUAUAACUUUUUUUACCUUUGAAUGGAGGUAACCAUCUCUACUUUGAAUCUCUUCUGUUAUGUUUAUGAAUAUUUAAUUUAGCAAUUUUGAUUUUGUAAAAAUCUGCUUUCACUUGCUACAACACCAUCUUUCUUUUCUCUUUCUUCAUCACUCCAUCUCUGUUUCUUUGAACAAAGUCUUAGCCGUCAAAUUUUUGAAACCCUGAACUGGUUUUCCACUUCAAGAUGACUAGACCAUUUGAGUUCGUGAAGGAUUUAAAUGAUACUAAAGAACUGUGAAGUAUAGUUGUAAGAAUCCAUUACAAAUGGAGUGUUGUUUCUAAGAAUAAGGAAUAUUUUGAGAAGAUAGUGGUUAAAUAAGUAAGCAUUUUUACAACAUUUUGUCACUGAUGAUUUUUGUUUUAACAUUUUCAGUUUAUUUACCAUAUUUAGUUUUUAUAUUAACAUUUUCCUUGAUGAUUACAGGUCUUAGGUUUUAGAAAUUUUAGUUUAAUGUUUUUUGUGCUAAAUAUGGUUGUUAAUAUGUUAUUUCUACUAUUCUUCAGAGUAGUGUUAUUUUUCCGGUUUUAUAUUUGGCACAGUGAAACAAACUUUACACUUGAUAUUACUUCAUUAAGUUCUAUUUUUUAAAUUCAAAUAUAAAAAUGUAAUUAUUGAAAACUUAUUUGUGGAUUUAUAGUUCUGUUUAUUUAUUUGUGUCCAUAAGCCAUUACAUUUGACUCUAAAAACUACCAUCUUUUUAUUGUUAAAAUAUAUUCAAAAAAAUUCUAACAGUUUUAAAUGUGAUUUAAAAAUGAAAUUUUUCUAACCGUUGACGAUUUGCAUUUAUGUGAUUUAAUUUUUUUUGUCAUAAUCAAUACUACUAUAAGUCCUUUCACUGUUAUGGAAAGGAAAAAUGAGAUAUAAACAAACCAAAAAUAUAUAUCAAUUUUAAAUUUCAAAAUCAUUUUUUUCCACCUCAUUUACUCUAUUUUUUUAUUUCAAUAAAUUUCAUAUCUCUCUUUUUAUGAGAAUUUAUGAAUCCUCUUCUUAUACUUUUUGGUUUUUUUAAUCAAUUUUAAGUUAUUGAGUUUCCUUUUAUAUUAUAGAUUUUCUCCGAUUGUUUCUUUUGCUAUUCUAUAUGUCAAUUUUUAGACUUACUUUUCAAUGUGCAAAGUAUUGUCAUCUCCAUUUUUCAAGGUAAAUAUAAUGAUGAAAUAUACUCUUUUUAUUAUUGUAGUAGUCAUCACACAUGCAAAUAUGCCAUUACUUAUUACAUGUUUCAAGACUGCUAUUUUACAGAGUGGCUGCUAAAUGUCGCAUCACUGCUUUUUGAGUAGAGCACUAUUUUCUAUGAACUUUUUAAUAACUUCUUAUAAUAUUAAAUUAUAUAAAGGUAAUACUUACUAGAUUUAUUUUAAGAUAUGCUUUUAUACUAAUAGAAAUUAUGAUAUUUUGUAUUAAUUUAUGGUAGCUAAUAAAUUUUAAUUAAUUUAAUUACCAUUUAAUUUCUUAUUAUUCACUAUCAUAAUAGUCAUUUUAAUGAUUUUGGUAGUAAACAAUUUUAAUGCUUUUUUUUGUGAUAACAUAGACUUAGCCAACAAAAGUAAAUGAUUUUAUUUGGUUCAAAACACAUUUCAAUGCAAGAAACUGUAAUAAUUUGAAAAAUAAAUAUUGAAAAUAUAUUACUUUAUUACUACACCAAUAAACAUAAAUAAUUGAUGUUAAGUUUUUAACAAAUCUUAAAAAUGAUAUCCUACCUGAACAUUAGUCUCACCAUUUUAUGUGAGUCAAAAUAGAGUUAUUUUUUUAAUGUUUGACAUUUAUUUUUAUUAUUAAAUUAUUUUAUGUUUAUUAUUAUUAAUACUGAGAUUUUUUAUGGUAUUUAUCAAGUAGAGGUGGAGUCAAUGUUAUAAUAUUUGUAAUAAUUGUCAUUCAAUGUUCAAUAUUGUUACAGACUGCUUAUUAUUAUAUAAUUUAUUAAUAAUUAUCAAAUUAAUGUAUAUCAAGACAAACAUUUCUCAAUUUUUUUCUAAACUGCCACUUAAAUAUAAACAAAUGUUUAUACUAUGUACUGAAUAAAAAAAAUAAUGUGCUUAAUAUAAAUUUUUUAGGGUAAAAUUAAAACAAAAAUAAGUGAUUCUAAAAUAUAAUUUUUUGAAGGUUUACUUUUCAUCUUAUGUUGGUUGUGAAUUAUACUAAUAUAAUCAAUGUCGAAUUCCGUCUUCGACAAUUAACUCAAUGCCACCCUUUAAGGUAACAGCACCUUCAUUAGGGCUUCAAGCCCACUUCCUAUGAAAUCAGGUAAGUGUUUCAUUCAUUUUUACAAUGCUGCAAAAUUGAAUAUCAAGGUUUAUGGUGUUUAAUUAUUUUUGACAUUAUGAAUUAUUUUUAAACAGAUUUUAGAUUUUUCAAUCAACUUAAGAUUGGUGAAAGAAAAGAUUAAGAUAAUACUACUGUAAGAGAACUCAGCAGAGAGUGGCCUGGAAGUGCAUAUGAUAUGUUGUCCCAAAUCUGCAACCACUUUUGUGGUGAAUUGUGUGAAAUGUCUUUCUGAUGCUGGUUGGAGAUGGUUGUAUGCUGAUGUGGGACUUGAUCUUGCUUUUGGCAUAUGAAAAUGACAUGGAUGUGUGGCUGUUGCCUGUUUGUAGGUUGUGAACAUUCUUAGUGGUGCAUUGAAAUUAUGAAGGCAACCCAAUUAUGAAUCUAGAAUUGGAUUUAAUAUCAACUUGAAAUUUAAAUUAUAAAUCUAGAACUAGCUCAUGUCUAUCAAACAGACUUGUGAAGUGAGGUUGUGAAAAGCAGUUUAGAAAUCAACCAAGUUACUAUCGCAAUGUAGGAUCAACUUUGCAGCAAUAAGGACAUUUGCAUGACCUUAUAUACUGUUAAAAUUUGUCAAACAAAUCCGGUUCAGGAGAUUUAGAGGUAACUAUGUACAAAUGUGGAAAGUCCAUUAAGGAGAGAUAGAGGUAGCUAUGCAGGCAACCGAGAAUCAAACCUUAGGACAAACCCAGAAAGGAAAUCCCGCCUCUGUCAUGCAAUCAACAGCCGCAGUAAACACAGCUGUCGAUCUUCUCAACUACGACGACAUCUCAGACAUUUCCAGAAACCAAGGUGUGAGCAUCUCCGAAACUGAAGUUCGUGGAAACCGUGUGAUCACUGAGUCGGUUGGGUCACAAGUUGUAUGACAGUUUGUUGAACCUGAUGUGCCAAUGAACGGUCUUGGUUUCUUGGAUUGUGACUAUAUUCCUACUGGUACAUCAUGUACUUGAAUUGUGGUUUAAUCAAUUAUUUGUUACUAAAAAAAGGCAUUACCUGCCUAUUCUAGAUAAAAUCUUGGAAUUAUUUGAA